GUGCUUCUGUGCUUCCCGUCACCUGGGACAUAAUUCCAGUGGCCUUAAGCAAUUCCGAGGGAGCUGGCUCUGAUGCGGCCCUGGUCGCGUUACCUGGCGCCCACCUGUAUAUACAGGUCCUCGGGAAUACAUGUUCCGACGGUUGCCACGGUUCGCC
rnacentral:misc_RNA from 1 species